rnacentral:rRNA from 1 species
GACAGAGGUGCCAAGCGUUAGGCGGAAUCACUGGGCUUAAAGCGUGUGUAGGCGGACCUGUAAGUGCCUUGUGAAAUCCCAUGGCUCAACCAUGGAACGGCUGGGCAUACUGCGGGUCUUGAGCUGUCUAGGGGCAACCGGAACAAACGGUGGAGCGGUGAAAUGCGUAGAUAUUGUUUGGAACGCCAAAGGUGAAAACAGGUUGCUGGGGACAUGCUGACGCUGAGACACGAAAGCCAGGGGAGCGAACGGG